rnacentral:rRNA from 1 species
UUGUUUACACAUCCACUCACACCUGUGCACCCUCCGUAGUUCCAUGGCCUGGGUGGGCUCUGUCCUCCUGGCGUGGUUCUACGUCUUUACACACACACUACAACAAAGUCUUAUGGAAUGUAUGUCGCGUUUAACGCAAUGAAAUACAACUUUCAGCAACGGAUCUCUUGGCUCUCGCAUCGAUGAAGAACGCAGCGAAAUGCGAUAAGUAAUGUGAAUUGCAGAAUUCAGUGAAUCAUCGAAUCUUUGAACGCACCUUGCGCCCUUUGGCUAUUCCGAAGGGCAUGCCUGUUUGAGUAUCAUGAACACCUCAACUCUCAUGGCUUGCCAUGAUGAGCUUGGACUUUGGGGGUCUUGUUGGCCUGUGAGCCAGCUCCUCUUAAAUGAAUUAGCUUGCCGGUGUUUGGUGGCGUCACAGGUGUGAUAACUAUCUACGCUUGUGGUUUCCCACCAGGUAACCUUCAGCAAUGGAGGUUCGCCGGAGCUUAUAAAUGUCUCUCCUCGGUGAGGACACAUUUUGACCAUUUGAUCUCAAAUCACGUAGGACUACCC